rfam:Eubacterium sp. CAG:252 genomic scaffold, scf24
UGAUACCAGGGGCAAAAGGCCUAAAUCCACAUGAGCCUGCUUAUAGGUGGGUGAAUGACCUUGUGACCCGACCCAAUAUGAGCAUAAAAGUGAGAUGAUAGUCCCACGAUAUGCGAAUAUUGGGGGAUUGUGGGAGUGCGCAGCACGGAACAAUCCGUAGGUAUCA